AAGCGGGGAUAUGUCAUACCACGGCGACGAUCGGUAGCUGGUCUGAGAGGAUGACCAGCCACACUGGAACUGAGACACGGUCCAGACUCCUACGGGAGGCAGCAGUGGGGAAUAUUGGACAAUGGGGGCAACCCUGAUCCAGCAAUGCCGCGUGUGUGAAGAAGGCCUGAGGGUUGUAAAGCACUUUCAGUGGGGAGGAGGAUUGAUUGGUUAAGAGCUGAUUUAUUGGACGUUACCCACAAAAGAAGCACCGGCUAACUCCGUGCCAGCAGCCGCGGUAAUACGGAGGGUGCGAGCGUUAAUCGGAAUUACUGGGCGUAAAGGGUGCGUAGGUGGUUGAAUAAGUUAUCUGUGAAAUUCCUGGGCUUAACCUGGGACGGUCAGAUGAUACUGUUUAACUCGAGUAUGGGAGAGGGUAGUGGAAUUUCCGGUGUAGCGGUGAAAUGCGUAGAGAUCGGAAGGAACACCAGUGGCGAAGGCGGCUACCUGGCCUAAUACUGACACUGAGGCACGAAAGCGUGGGGAGCAAACAGGAUUAGAUACCCUGGUAGUCCACGCUGUAAACGAUGUCAACUAGCUGUUGGUUAUAUAAAUAUAAUUAGUGGCGCAGCAAACGCGUAAAAGU
rnacentral:rRNA from 1 species